rnacentral:rRNA from 1 species
GACGAACGCUGGCGGCGUGCUUAACACGUGCAAGUCGAACGGAAAGGCCCUGCUUUUGUGGGGUGCUCGAGUGGCGAACGGGUGAGUAACACGUGAGUAACCUGCCCUUGACUUUGGGAUAACUUCAGGAAACUGGGGCUAAUACCGGAUAGGAGCUCCUGCUGCAUGGUGGGGGUUGGAAAGUUUCGGCGGUUGGGGAUGGACUCGCGGCUUAUCAGCUUGUUGGUUGGGUAGUGGCUUACCAAGGCUUUGACGGGUAGCCGGCCUGAGAGGGUGACCGGCCACAUUGGGACUGAGAUACGGCCCAGACUCCUACGGGAGGCAGCAGUGGGGAAUAUUGCACAAUGGGCGGAAGCCUGAUGCAGCCACGCCGCGUGCGGGAUGACGGCCUUCGGGUUGUAAACCGCUUUCGCCUGUGACGAAGCGUGAGUGACGGUAAUGGGUAAAGAAGCACCGGCUAACUACGUG